rnacentral:rRNA from 1 species
AGUAGGGAAUAUUGGACAAUGGGGGCAACCCUGAUCCAGCAAUGCCGCGUGAGUGAUGAAGGCCUUAGGGUUGUAAAGCUCUUUUACCCGGGAUGAUAAUGACAGUACCGGGAGAAUAAGCUCCGGCUAACUCCGUGCCAGCAGCCGCGGUAAUACGGAGGGAGCUAGCGUUGUUCGGAAUUACUGGGCGUAAAGCGCGCGUAGGCGGCUAUUUAAGUCAGAGGUGAAAGCCUGGAGCUCAACUCCAGAACUGCCUUUGAGACUGGAUAGCUAGAAUCCUGGAGAGGUGAGUGGAAUUCCGAGUGUAGAGGUGAAAUUCGUAGAUAUUCGGAAGAACACCAGUGGCGAAGGCGGCUCACUGGACAGGUAUUGACGCUGAGGUGCGAAAGCGUGGGGAGCAAA